rnacentral:rRNA from 1 species
AUACGGAGGGUGCAAGCGUUGUUCGGAAUCACUGGGCGUAAAGGGCGCGCAGGCGGUUUGGUAAGUCAGAUGUGAAAGCCCACGGCUCAACCGUGGAAGUGCAUUUGAAACUGCCAGACUUGAGUACCAGAGGGGAAAGUGGAAUUCCCGGUGUAGAGGUGAAAUUCGUAGAUAUCGGGAGGAAUACCGGUGGCGGAGGCGACUUUCUGGCUGGAUACUGACGCUGAGGCGCGAAAGCGUGGGGAGCAAACAGGAUUAGAAACCCUAGUAGUCC